GAUGAACGCUAGCGAUAGGCUUAACACAUGCAAGUCGAGGGGCAGCAUGGUCUUAGCUUGCUAAGACUGAUGGCGACCGGCGCACGGGUGCGUAACGCGUAUGCAACUUGCCUCACAGAGGGGGAUAACCCGUCGAAAGACGGACUAAUACCGCGUACACUCCAUCUUGGGCAUCCAAGGUAGAGGAAAUGAAAUUCGCUGUGAGAUAGGCAUGCGUCCCAUUAGCUAGUUGGUGAGGUAACGGCUCACCAAGGCGACGAUGGGUAGGGGAACUGAGAGGUUGAACCCCCACACUGGUACUGAGACACGGACCAGACUACUACGGGAGGCGGCAGUGAGGAAUAUUGGUCAAUGGGCGAGAGCCUGAACCAGCCAAGUCGCGUGAAGGAUGACUGUCUUAUGGAUUGUAAACUUCUUUUAUACGGGAAUAACAAGAGUCACGGGUGACUCCCUGCAUGUACCGUAUGAAUAAGCAUCGGCUAACUCCGUG
rnacentral:rRNA from 1 species